rnacentral:rRNA from 1 species
AUGGCGUUCGCCAGAUGGGUCCCCGGGCCCUCACGGCCCGUUCUCUUCUUCCUCCUCAAGACGCUACCGCUGCUCGUGCUCCUCACCUUCUCCUCCGCCGCGCCCCCGGCGGCGUCGUCUCCCGCGGCUGUGCACAACAACAACUGGGCCGUGCUCGUCUGCACAUCCCGCUUCUGGUUUAAUUAUAGACAUAUGGCCAACACGCUGUCUUUGUACAGGACUGUUAAGAGAUUAGGAAUACCUGAUGAGCGGAUAAUACUUAUGUUGGCGGAUGAUAUGGCUUGUAAUCCUCGGAACAAUUAUCCUGCCCAAGUGUUCAACAAUGAGAACCACCAGCUUAAUCUUUAUGGUGACAAUGUUGAGGUUGAUUACCGAGGUUACGAGGUUACAGUUGAAAACUUUUUGCGAGUUUUGACUGGAAGACAUGAGAGUGCUGUACCAAGAUCAAAGCGUCUCUUAAGUGAUGAAGGAAGCCAUAUUCUUUUGUACAUGACUGGGCAUGGUGGGGAUGAAUUUCUGAAGUUCCAAGAUAAUGAAGAACUUCAGAGCCAUGAUUUAGCAGAUGCAGUAAAGCAAAUGAAGGAGAAACAUAGAUUUAAAGAGUUGUUGAUUAUGGUAGAUACCUGCCAGGCUGCUACUCUGUUUUCACAGCUUCAAUCACCUGGCGUUUUGGCGAUUGGCAGCAGCAUGAAAGGGGAAAAUUCUUACUCUCACCAUCUUGACUCAGACAUUGGUGUUUCUGUUGUGGAUAGGUUUACCUUCCAUACACUUGCUUUCUUUGAGAAGCUGAACAUGUAUAGCAAUGCUUCAUUGAACAGUCUUUUCAAUUCAUAUGAUCCUUCCAUGCUGCUGUCUACUGCAUAUUAUCGAAUGGAUCUUUACAAGCGUGCCUUAAACGAGGUCCCAGUGACAAAUUUCUUUGGAUCAGUCAUGAAGACUAUCCAUACUGAUUCAGCCUACACAGGCUUCUUAGCUGCACAUAAUGCAGAAACCCCCCUUCCUAUCGGAAAUGAUAUAGUUGACGAUGUCAUGCUACAGAAUGAGGCUAGUGCAAGAAGAUCAAACAUAGAAGAGACGAAAGAAGCACAAUUAAGGUCGCAUGGAUGGACAGAGGCCCUGCUAGAACAGCUGGAAGGCAAGAAUUCUGAUGUUGUUGUGAUGUAUGGCCUGGGAACUAUGGGCAUACUGUUGGCAAUUUCAACCUGGCUAUCAAUGUAG